UCUCACCUGGUAGGGUGCCAUUUCAUAUUUGCCCAUUGUUUCUUCCAAGUUCUGGGAUUCCGUGGGUAGCGUUCCAGAGUGACCAGAGGAUCUCCACCUAUCGUCUGCUGGCACUGUCCCAGAGGUUCCACGAGCUGAAACAGAGAGGGAGGGCAGGGGGCUCGGGUACAGGAACGUUGGAGGAACAAAGCCGAGGCUGACAAAGACCGCUCCAACAUCACAGCGGACCAGGAAGACCAAGGUGAGGAGGCUGUUCUUGCGGCUCGUGUGGUUCGUCCAGGGGGCAGCAAGCCGCCAGGCAGAGAAACUCUGCAAAGCUAUGUAGAAGGCAGAGUGAGUCCGGCUAAGACAGAGAAGAGGAUGAAGGAGUGGGCUGAACUGGCCUGUAGCCGUGGCCAGYAACCAGAGGAGGUGGGCCAGACUGCUGGAGGCAGAGAGGAGGGAGGAGAGAAGGAGACCCCCUGUCCUACACCUGCAGCUAAAAKGAGAAAGAGGGAGGUGGAGGAAGGAGCUGGUGUGACAGAGCUGGAGAAGGAGAUAAUGGAGUUGGAGGAGGUCAGGCUGCUGUAUGAACAGGACUCCCUGCUGGA